UGGGGGAUAUUGCACAAUGGGCGAAAGCCUGAUGCAGCGACGCCGCGUGAGGGAAGACGGUCUUCGGAUUGUAAACCUCUGUCUUUGGGGAAGAAAAUGACGGUACCCAAAGAGGAAGCUCCGGCUAACUACGUGCCAGCAGCCGCGGUAAUACGUAGGGAGCAAGCGUUGUCCGGAAUUACUGGGUGUAAAGGGAGCGUAGGCGGGAUGGCAAGUAGAAUGUUAAAUCCAUCGGCUCAACCGGUGGCUGCGUUCUAAACUGCCGUUCUUGAGUGAAGUAGAGGCAGGCGGAAUUCCUAGUGUAGCGGUGAAAUGCGUAGAUAUUAGGAGGAACACCAGUGGCGAAGGCGGCCUGCUGGGCUUUAACUGACGCUGAGGCUCGAAAGCGUGGGGAGCAAACAGGAUUAGAUACC
rnacentral:rRNA from 1 species